CAGCAGUGUGUUCCUUCCUUGUCAGGCAGCUGGCAGGAAAGUAGCUGUGGGCUUUCCAGAGAGAAGCCCAGGACUGCAUCCACAUAAAUAAAAGGUCAAUGCGGAUUCUGCAUCCAAGAUGGGAGGUAGAGACACAGCAGGAAGGCAGCUGUCUCCAAGCCAGGAAGUGGGCUCUCACCAGCAACCAAAUCUGCCAGCACCUUGAUCUUGGGCUUCCAGCCUCCAGAACUGUGAGAAAUAACUGUCUGUUGUUUGAACCACCCAGCCUGUGGUAUUUUGUCAUAGCAGCUCCAUCUGACUGAGAUAUUGUACUGUUAACCUCAAACCCACCAGGGGGCUCCUGGGGCAUGUGGUCACUGUGGCGUGUUCCCAAGUCACAU
rnacentral:lncRNA from 1 species